rnacentral:misc_RNA from 1 species
AAGUCGUAACAAGGUUUCCGUAGGUGAACCUGCGGAAGGAUCAUUACCGAGUGAGGGCCCUCUGGGUCCAACCUCCCACCCGUGUUUAUUUACCACGUUGCUUCGGCGGGCCCGCCUUAACUGGCCGCCGGGGGGCUCACGCCCCCGGGCCCGCGCCCGCCGAAGACACCCCCGAACUCUGCCUGAAGAUUGUCGUCUGAGUGAAAAUAUAAAUUAUUUAAAACUUUCAACAACGGAUCUCUUGGUUCCG